GUCACUUGGAGUUUUUGUAUAUUUUUAAAAGAAAGUUAGCAUACCUUUUUAUCCUCAUAGGUUCUCUCAGAUCACUCAUUAUCUUUUGUAUAUAUAUCUCACUGAGGUUGUUUUAUUUUGCAAAAAUUCUUAAGCAUACUCACUUUGCAUUUAUUGCCUGAUCAAAACGGGAUCCGAGGAGGGGAAUGUCAUACUCUUAGAUCAAAGACUUUAAAAACUUUGUCAACUCUUGCUGG
rnacentral:lncRNA from 1 species